rnacentral:rRNA from 1 species
CUACUAGGGUUUCUAAUCCCGUUUGCUCCCCUGGCUUUCGCGCCUCAGCGUCAGAAGGGAUCCAGCACGCCGCUUUCGCCACCGGAGUUCCUAUGGAUAUCAACGCAUUUCACCGCUCCACCCACAGUUCCGCGUGCCCCUAUCCCCCUCGAGGCCAUCAGUAUCCGAGGCAGUUCUCCCGUUGAGCGGGAGGAUUUCACCCCGGACUUGAUAGCCCGCCUACGCGCCCUUUAAGCCCAGUGAUUCCGAACAACGUUCGCACGGUUCGUCUUACCGCGGCUGCUGGCAC